ACCUGGUUGAUUCUGCCAGUAGUCAUAUGCUUGUCUCAAAGAUUAAGCCAUGCAUGUCUAAGUAUAAGCAAUUACAAAGCGAAACUGCGAAUGGCUCAUUAUAUAAGUUAUCGUUUAUUUGAUAGUACCUUACUACAUGGAUAACCGUGGUAAUUCUAGAGCAA
rnacentral:rRNA from 2 species